CUUAAAAAUAAAUCCGGGGUAAAAAAUAUCGAAAACAAUUUAUGAAAACUCUUUGCGAAAAUCCUUUUUACAAACUCAACUCCUUUCCUAUGAUCACAGAAAUAGUAUAUACUUUGUAUUUUUGAAAGCUGCUGUCACAAGGCAGCUAUAGACAACGGUCACAACAAAAUGAUAAUCAGAAAAUAUUUUAUAACAUAAUAAUAAUGGAUCCAAUGUCGGCAUGUUUGCUCGGGACGUGUAUACUGACAUCGUGCUUCCUGCCCUGUUUCUGGAUAUGCCCCUUCAUCCCGAUUCCCUUCAUUUUGGUAACAGACACCAGCAAUUGCAACACUGCCCGAAGGAGGAAUUGUCAAGAUUAUCAAUUCUUAAAUAAGAAAAAUGGAGAUUAUUACUAUUUGGUUUGGACGAAACUUGGAUUCAGACUGCUUAAAACCCAAAAACCUGAUACACCAUUUGCUGGCCAAUGAUUCAAAUGUCCCUUUUUGUAAAUAAAUUGUUUCUUGUUUUUGUAAAUAAUUUAUUUUCUAAUCGUUUUUGUAAGCAAAUUAUUUUGUAAUCGCUUUUUGUGAAUAAAUUAUUUUUAUCGC